rnacentral:rRNA from 1 species
GAUGAACGCUAGCUACAGGCUUAACACAUGCAAGUCGAGGGGCAGCAUGGUCUUAGCUUGCUAAGGCCGAUGGCGACCGGCGCACGGGUGAGUAACACGUAUCCAACCUGCCGUCUACUCUUGGACAGCCUUCUGAAAGGAAGAUUAAUACAAGAUGGCAUCAUGAGUCCACAUGUUCACAUGAUUAAAGGUAUUCCGGUAGACGAUGGGGAUGCGUUCCAUUAGAUAGUAGGCGGGGUAACGGCCCACCUAGUCUUCGAUGGAUAGGGGUUCUGAGAGGAAGGUCCCCCACAUUGGAACUGAGACACGGUCCAAACUCCUACGGGAGGCAGCAGUGAGGAAUAUUGGUCAAUGGGCGAGAGCCUGAACCAGCCAAGUAGCGUGAAGGAUGACUGCCCUAUGGGUUGUAAACUUCUUUUAUAAAGGAAUAAAGUCGGGUAUGGAUACCCGUUUGCAUGUACUUUAUGAAUAAGGAUCGGCUAACUCCGUGCCAGCAGCCGCGGUAAUACGGAGGAUCCGAGCGUUAUCCGGAUUUAUUGGGUUUAAAGGGAGCGUAGAUGGAUGUUUAAGUCAGUUGUGAAAGUUUGCGGCUCAACCGUAAAAUUGCAGUUGAUACUGGAUAUCUUGAGUGCAGUUGAGGCAGGCGGAAUUCGUGGUGUAGCGGUGAAAUGCUUAGAUAUCACGAACAACUCCGAUUGCGAAGGCAGCCUGCUAAGCUGCAACUGACAUUGAGGCUCGAAAGUGUGGGUAUCAAACAGGAUUAGAUACCCUGGUAGUCCACACGGUAAACGAUGAAUACUCGCUGUUUGCGAUAUACAGCAAGCGGCCAAGCGAAAGCGUUAAGUAUUCCACCUGGGGAGUACGCCGGCAACGGUGAAACUCAAAGGAAUUGACGGGGGCCCGCACAAGCGGAGGAACAUGUGGUUUAAUUCGAUGAUACGCGAGGAACCUUACCCGGGCUUAAAUUGCAGAUGAAUUACGGUGAAAGCCGUAAGCCGCAAGGCAUCUGUGAAGGUGCUGCAUGGUUGUCGUCAGCUCGUGCCGUGAGGUGUCGGCUUAAGUGCCAUAACGAGCGCAACCCUUGUUGUCAGUUACUAACAGGUUCCGCUGAGGACUCUGACAAGACUGCCAUCGUAAGAUGUGAGGAAGGUGGGGAUGACGUCAAAUCAGCACGGCCCUUACGUCCGGGGCUACACACGUGUUACAAUGGGGGGUACAGAGGGCCGCUACCACGCGAGUGGAUGCCAAUCCCAAAAACCUCUUUCAGUUCGGACUGGAGUCUGCAACCCGACUCCACGAAGCUGGAUUCGCUAGUAAUCGCGCAUCAGCCACGGCGCGGUGAAUACGUUCCCGGGCCU